UCUUACAUUUAUUUUGUUUUUUGUUAGUGUUAUACUUAGAUUUUGUAGGGUUUAUGUUAAAUAUAGAUUUAGAUCUUUGUGUGAAAUGUAACUUUAUACUCAUUUGUUAGGGUUUAUGUUCUGGUGUUAAAUAUAGAUUUCGAUCUUCGUAAUAUUACUCGAUCUUUGGAAUGUUACUCGAUCUUUGAGUUAGGGUUUCUUUAUUGUUUGUUAUUCAGUCGUGUAUGUGUGGGUUCACCUUUUAAAAUGUAAAAAAGACAAGAAGACAAAGAUGAAUCGGGUAUUGUGUCUGUCUGGGAUUAAAGUAAAAUAACCUAAUUUAACAAGGCAAAUAUGAGUUGGGUGUUGUGUAUGUGUAGGGUUACAGUAAAUGACCUAAUCCUAAAAAGAUUGAUGUUUCUGUGUCUGGUCUAUUUGUGUGGGGUUAUAGGUGUGUCUAAACUGUAUUUUUAGUUGUAAAGAUUAAUGUUUUUCACAUUUUGGCUUAAGAGCAUGACAUUAUACAUUAUAUUGUUUGUACAGGGUUAGGUCAAUUAAUAUAAUUCAAUGUCAUUGUUCCAGUUCAAGGUUAAGUUCCCGAUGGGAUGAUUGUUCCUAAACGUUUAAUUAGUUGAAUUCGAUUUCUUUACUUUGACAUUUGAUUAUCUGUUUGGGGUUAUAUGUGUGUAUGUGUGUGCUUUUUUAGUCUAUUAGUGAUUUGUGUUUAAUUGUUGUUUAUGUUUAUGAAUAUAGGUAUGAGUGAAUUUACAUUUAUUACUUUAAAGUUUUAUCAUGAUGGGGCCUUAUUGUUUGAAGGUGAGGAAGCAAGAUAUGUGGGUGGGUUAGUGAGUGGAUUUAAAAAUGUUGAUAUGGAUACAAUAUCAUAUUUUGAGAUUAAAGACUACAUUAAAGAACUAGGGUAUAACUCAAAUUGCAAAUUGAGUAUCAUGCCACCAAACAGUUGCAUUUUAGGAAAUAUUGAUGAUGAUGAUAUUCUAUUGGCAAUGUGUAAUUUUUUGCAAAGUGGGGCUACUUUGGAUGUAUGUAUAUGUGCACAUGCUUGAGGAGGAAUUUGGUGCAGUUUUUAAUAAAGUUGGGACCACUGAAAAUUGUGCUACUCAAAAUAUUGAAGAUAAUGAAGUAGGUGACGCUGCUUUAAAUGGGGUAGAUGUGUAUCUAAAUACUACCUCAAAUAUUCCUUCUAUAUCAGAUCCUACAGCUUCAAAUAAUGAUCUAUCAAAUUUUGCAGAUAGGGAUUACUCUGUAAAAGGAUCUGAUGAGUCAACUAAUGAUAAUGGGGGUUCUGAAAAUAGUGAACUACUUUGAGAUGACAAUUAUGAAAGUGAUGUUCAUGAAGAGUUAGUAAAGCUUAGGGCUGAGAAAAGAUCCUUUUUGAGGAGGAAAAGAAGAGAGAGAAAACCUGUAGACACUGAAGAAAUACCAUGUGGUAAUGCUGGACCAGAUUUUGAAUUUGAUGAGACUGUUAUUAGUAAAAAUACUUUAAAAGGAAGGCUAGAGGGUGAUGAACCAUAUUAUGCAAGUUUUGAUCCUUGUAGCUUUGAAACUGACACAGAUGAUAGUUGUCUUGAGGAAGGUGAAAAAUGAGGUUAAAGCUGCCUAAAACAAGAAGGAAAAAACAUACCACAGAUAAUGUUAGAUUUGAUCCCAACGGUAAGAUGAUAGUGUGGCAGUUGGGUAUGAUUUUUUAAAGUGUGAAAAAGAUUAGAUUGGCAGUCACUAAAUAUGCAAUUCAAAGAAGGGUGCAGAUUGAGAAGUAUGUGGAUGAGCCAACUAGAGUAAGAGUAAGAUAUUGCAAGAAAAACUGCAAAUGGUUAUUGUAUGCAAGUCUUGACAUGCAACUAAUAACUUUGUUAUCAGGACUUACAAACAAGUACAUCUAUGUCAGAGUAGCUCUAGAAAUUACUUGUGCGACUCUAAAUUCCUUACUAGUGUUUUUAAAGAUAGAGUAAUUGAACAAUCAAAUAAUAGAGUGUUCAAGUUGCAAGAGUUAAUCAGGAAGAAAUACAAAGUGCAUGUUGGUAAGACCACAACUAAAGGAGCAAGAGCUAAAAUUCUGAAUGAAAUUAUGGGUGAUCACAUUAAGGAGUUUGGGAGAAUUCUUGAUUAUAAGGAUGAACUGUUAAGGUCUAAUCCUGGAAGUACUUAAGUGGUGAAGCUUGGUGAAGUUAAUGAACUUGGCAUGCCAGUAUUUGAAGCAUUUUACAUAUGUUUUGAAGCACUCAAGAUGACAUUCAUGUCAUGUAGAAAAUGCCUUGGGUUGGAUGGUUGUUUCUUGAAGGGAGUAUCCCGGGGUCAAUUACUUAUUGCAGUGGCCAAGAAUGGCAAUAACCAAAUGCUUCCACGUGCUUGGACUAUAUAGAAAAUGAGAACAAAAAUAGCUGGAGUUGGUUUAUUUCUUUGUUACAUAAAGACUUGGUAUUAGGAGAUGGAACUAGUUUCACCAUCAUGUCAAAUAUGCAGAAGAUAAAUACUACUACAUUUUGUUGGUUCACUCCUUUUCUUUUUUUCAAAUAAAUUAUGUAAUAUUUGUUAUAACUUGUACGGACUGGGAUAUAGCUAUUAAGGAAUUGUUACCAGUUUGUGAAGAAAGAAAGUGUUUUAGGCAUAUCCUAGCAAAUUGGUCAAAGAGUUAGAGGGGCUACAAAGGAAGAAUCUAUUCUGGAAGUGUGCUAGGAAUACUUUUGAAGCUGAAUUCAAAGAAAAUUUGAAAGGGUUGUCUAAAUUAGGUAAGAAUAUAGUGGAUGGUCUACUUUACUAUAAUAAAGAAUAUUGGUGCAAAAUGUCUUUUAAUUGCGAAGUCAAGUGUGAUGCAGUAGAUAAUAUUAUGUGUAAGAAUUUUUAAUGCUUGGAUCUUGUCGGCAAUGCAUGAAACCAUUAUGAACAUGCCUGAAGAGAUAAGGGUUAAGGUCAUGAUUAGGUUAGCUAGGUUAAGUGAAUUUCCAAACUCUUAGGUAACCAACUUCUCUCCAAUGAAAAUGAAAGUAUUGGAGGCCAAUAUUGAUAAGUCAAUGAGGUGUAGCAUUGAGUUUGAUGGGGUAACAUGAUAUGAAGUUGUGGAUGGAUACAAACAACACACUGUGUGUUUGAGAAAGAGGGAGUGUAGUUGUAGAUCUUGGAUGUUGAAGGGAAUACCAUGUGCACAUGUCUUAACUGUAAUGUUGCGUAAGCAAUAUGAUCCACAUGAUUUCGUUCAUCCAUGUUACUUUAAAGAGAGGUACCUGAUCACUUACUCAUAUUUCAUGCAACCUAUGAAUAACAUGCCAAUGUGGCCAGAAUCAACAAAUCUUGUCGUUGCUCCACCAAUGAUCAAAAAGUUGCCAGGAAGGCCUAGAAAGUUGAGAAGGAAAGAGGCUAGAGAAACUAGGGUGUCUGAUAAAAUGCCAAAAACUUAUGUAACUAUGACAUGUAGUCUUUGUCAUGUUAAAGGUCGCAACAAAAGAAGAUGUCAUUUGCUAAGGACUGAUGGAGUUGGUUCUACUGCUAGGGAAUAGAGUGCUACGACUAAUUCAACUAUUGCAAAACCAUUAAGGUCAAGAAAGGAAAGGGGAAGACCAAAGAAACCAACAAGUACUAAAAGUGAGCCAAUUGCAAAAAGGAGGAGAGGCGGACCUAGAACUACUGAACCAAGAUCACCAAGGCAAGGUGCAAGUGCAAGCGCAAAAGUAAGUGUAUCAAGUGGUGCACUUAAAACCGCUACACCUCAUUCUAACAAAAGACCAAGUGAAUCAAGAUCACCAAGGCAGGGUUUAGGUGCAAGUGCAAGUAUAUCAAAGGGUGCACCUACAACUACUGCACCUCAUCUUAACAAAGACCAACUACAUCAACAUCACCAAGAACUAGAAGAGAUAGAGGAAGGGGUAGGGGAAUGAGAAGUAAAUCAAGAGGAGUUAAUCAUCCACUUGAAAGUUGGUUUACAUGUUUUGAAGAUAGUACAACACAUGAUGUAGGCCAGAAUUCAAAUGCUGCAAAUGUUGCACCAAAGGAUGCUCGAAACACAACCCAAAUUAAAAGGCCAUGAGUAACUGAAAUGGGUGUGUUUCAAGCUGAAAAUGGGUUCAAAACUUUCAAUGGAAGUAUUAUGAUGCAUUCAUAAUGCUUGUUCACUAAUAAUAACUUCAACUUAUACAAUUAAUUUUUCUGUAGCCUAGACUGUCAAAUAGCAGAAUUUUAUCGAUUAGACCAAAAAGAGUGUUGAGAUCAUCAGUUAUAACUAGAGAUAUUGGUUUCAAAUCAAUAAGUGGAUUGAAGUGGAAAGGAAAUCAAGUAAUCACAAAAGGUAGGCUCCAGGAGAUUAGAGAUCAAUCCAAGCCUUCAAACUUGAAUACUUCCUCCUCUUCACAGCCCCGAGACCCUUGGAAACUAUGAUGCUGAUAUCAAUGGAGUUUGUUCAGAACUAUUUUGGUGCCACUAAAUUACUUUUUUUUUGUUUGAAGGAAAAACAACUAAGAUACUAUUUUGUUUCUUGUUUGAAGGAAAAAUAACUAUUCCUUGUUUUUUGUUAUAUGUAUGAAAUAGUACUGAAAUUCUGAUAUUGAAUGCAAUGUUGAAGCUUUGUCUUGCUCUUGA